UACGAAGGGGGCUAGCGUUGCUCGGAAUCACUGGGCGUAAAGCGCACGUAGGCGGAUUGUUAAGUCGGAGGUGAAAUCCUGGAGCUCAACUCCAGAACUGCCUUCGAUACUGGCGGUCUCGAGUCCGGGAGAGGUGAGUGGAACUGCGAGUGUAGAGGUGAAAUUCGUAGAUAUUCGCAAGAACACCAGUGGCGAAGGCGGCUCACUGGCCCGGUACUGACGCUGAGGUGCGAAAGCGUGGGGAGCAAACAGG
rnacentral:rRNA from 1 species